GCUGCAUGGCUGUCGUCAGCUCGUGCCGUGAGGUGUGGGUUAAGUCCCGCAACGAGCGCAACCCUCGUGCUAUGUUGAUUUCUCAUAGCAGACUGCCUUGUACAGCAAGGAGGAAGGUGGGAUGACGUCAAGUCAGCAUGGCCUUUAUGCCCUGGGCUACACACACGCUACAAUGGGUGGGUACAGAGGGUUGCCACGGAGCAAUCCGGAGCGAAUCCCUUAAAACCAUCCUCAGUUCGGAUUGCAGGCUGCAAUCGCCUGCAUGAAGCCGGAGCUGCUAGUAACCGCAGGUCAGCUAUACUGCGGUGAAUACGUUCUCGGGCCUU
rnacentral:rRNA from 1 species